UAGAAUGUGGUGUGAGAAAACAGAGAAUUUUGGGUUCUUAGAUGCAGGUUCAAUUCCUAUUGUUCUAG
rnacentral:tRNA from 1 species